rnacentral:rRNA from 1 species
AAUGAACGCUGGCGGCAGGCCUAACACAUGCAAGUCGAACGAGUGGCGGACGGGUGAGUAAUGUCUGGGAAACUGCCUGAUGGAGGGGGAUACCUACUGGAAACGGUAGCUAAUACCGCAUACCAUCGGAUGUUCCCAGAUGGGAUUAGCUAGUAGGUGGGGUAACGGCUCACCUAGGCGACGAUCCCUAGCUGGUCUGAGAGGAUGACCGGCCACACUGGAACUGAGACACGGUCAAGACUCCUACGGGAGGCAGCAGUGGGGAAUAUUGCACAAUGGGCGCAAGCCUGAUGCAGCCAUGCCGCGUGGAUGAAGAAGGCCUUCGGGUUGUAAAGUACUUUCAGCGGGGAGGCGUUACCCGCAGAAGAAGCAACGGCUAACUACGUGCCAGCAGCCGCGGUAAUUC